rnacentral:lncRNA from 1 species
ACGAGGUCAGGAGUUCCAGAUCAGCCUGGCCAACAUAGUGAAACCUCGUCUGUACUAAAAAUACAAUAAUUAGCUGGGAAUGUUGGUGCAUGCCUGUGGUCCCAGCGACUCAGGAAGCUGAGGCAAGGAAUCGCUGGAACCAGGGAGGCAGAGGUUGCCCUGAGCCGAGAUCACACCACUGCACUCCAGCCUGGGCAACAGAGCAAGACUCCAUCUCAAGAAAAAAAAAAAAAUCCAAUUAGGAAAAAAGUGCACUCAAGCUAGUUUCUCACACAUGACACACCUGUUCUUCAGUAAGACGUUGCCAUUUGAGAAGGAUGUCUUGUAAAAGAACCCAGCGGUCUUCUGUCCAUCUACAGAUGUUUGCCCAUCGAUCUCCCAAUACCUGGAGAAGAGACAAUCAAGCACAGCAUCAGCAAACAAUUGGUAACUACGUUUUAUUAAAAAUGGCAUGAAUAAUUUGCCAAAGUAUCUCAGUCUCCUAUGUACGCUAGAAGUUGGAAGGGACACUCUUUCUGAUCUGCUUACAUUUAAAUAAGUGGUGUGACUGUCAUUUGUCUUUAUCUCACCAAGUCUUGUACCUUUCAUAGAAAAGCAAAGAGACAAGCAAUAUGAAGUGGUUAUUAUACCACUAUAUAAAAUGGCU